UCACAUCAAAACAGUGCCUGCUAAUUAC
rnacentral:sRNA from 1 species